rnacentral:rRNA from 1 species
GAUGAACGUUGGCGGCGUGCCUAAUACAUGCAAGUCGAGCGAACAGACGAGGAGCUUGCUCCUCUGACGUUAGCGGCGGACGGGUGAGUAACACGUGGAUAACCUACCUAUAAGACUGGGAUAACUUCGGGAAACCGGAGCUAAUACCGGAUAAUAUAUUGAACCGCAUGGUUCAAUAGUGAAAGACGGUUUUGCUGUCACUUAUAGAUGGAUCCGCGCCGCAUUAGCUAGUUGGUAAGGUAACGGCUUAUCAAGGCGACGAUGCGUAGCCGACCUGAGAGGGUGAUCGGCGACACUGGAACUGAGACACGGUCCAGACUCCUACGGGAGGCAGCAGUAGGGAAUCUUCCGCAAUGGGCGAAAGCCUGACGGAGCAACGCCGCGUGAGUGAUGAAGGUCUUCGGAUCGUAAAACUCUGUUAUGAGGGAAGAACAAAUGUGUAAGUAACUAUGCACGUCUUGACGGUACCUAAUCAGAAAGCCACGGCUAACUACGUG